UUGUCUUGUGAAAGCAUUUUGUAGAUAAAAUAUACGAUCAAGUGUAUGAUUCAUUUCGCUCUUAUUUCUCAUAAUUGUUUGCAGUGUGCUCUCGGUAAUAGUCUACAUUUUACAGACUAAUAACUGUGAGAAAAAUAACUCAAAUUCUGUGUUGCAGGUUCUGUUAUUCCUCACAUUUCAAGGUUUUUCUUUUUCGUUGUUUGCUUAUUUACUACCGUGGAAUAAUAUUAAUCUUGUUUUUCUGGGACGUAUUUUUUUGCAGAAAUUCAACAGUCUAGAAAUAUACCCUAAGGAUUUGGCAUGAUAGGAACAUCUGCGGAAUAGAGAGACAAGUGUGUGAUAGUGCAAUCGAUUCAGUUAUACAGGAUUGCACUGCUAUCGAUUUGAUGAUCAAGUGAAAGUAAUUAUUAACGGAUAGAAUCUAAAAUUGCAAGGGGGUCAAAAUGAACGACGAUAUCGAAGAGGACGCAAUGAUGAAGGCAGCAGAUUUUGCGAGAAGCAGACGAACAGAUGACGUCAGACGUCGGUCAAAGCAUCAUCCUGAUUCGAUGGAGAAUUCAACACAAACAAAUAAUUUCAACCAGAGGUCAAGUUCGAACAUGUCACGUGAUUGGUUUCUAUGGAAACAGACGACCUUGUUGUGUUCAUUGACCUUUGCGUUUGUACUUAGUACAAUAACACAGUUGAAACAAAUGAUCAGUGUGGGAACUGGUCACAAGAACUACAAUCUAUUGUUGUGUACGAUGUUGUGUUCUCUAUCACUCCAGUGCUUUGUUGUUAUAUUGUUGUUAGUACUCACCAAUAAGGAACCUGAUUGGUUGCGUGAUAUUCACACCGGUACUUCGAAGAUGCAGAGAAUAAUUAAUGUAACCAUGGCAGCAGUAUUUGUUAUAUCUUUGCUAGAAAUAUGUGAAUUUGUGCUUAUGGACUGAUUGAUAUUUUUGUUUACGGCUUAUAAAAAGAACUUUUCAAGAGUCUGUCGACAAGUAUAAUCUCGAAAUACGUGCCAGCCUCGUUUUGGAAGUUCACUACAGACGUUAUCAUACACUGUUUGCCAGCCUCGUUUUGGAAGUUCACUACAGACGUUAUCAUACACUGUUUGCCAAAAACUACUGUGAUCUUAUUGCGCAAAUAGUAAAAUUUAUUGUAAUUAGUUGUACGUUUUCUAGAUAUUGUAAGAAAUGUUCAUUGUUUACCAUUGAUUUAAAAGGAAAAUGCCUGUUGUGUAGAUUCCAAGGGGAAUCAAAGAACAUUUCAUAUGAAGACAUUAAGGUAGCGUCAUUUUGGAGAUGUUUUAGCCAUCAUAGCAAAAGCUAACGGAAAGUGUCAAUUCUUUUGAUGUUUCUAAUCAUAUCGGCGAUUUGUCUUAAACAAAGUGCUAUUAUUUCUUUCACAUGUUUCAUUAGUCUUGGGGUGAUGAGAACUUGCAGAGAGAUGUUUGUUAUAUCGAACAAAUCAUACAGUGCCGUCCGCAGUACUUCUUUCAGUAACAAUACUAAAUUAGAAAUAGCAGAAAACCACAGGUCGGCCAACUAAAUUUAGGUUCAUAUCUUGCGAAGACUUCGUUUUUUAUGUUUUAAUUCUCUGAGCUUCCCGAGUUCUUAUUGCAAAGGCUUCUAGCCAACGGCUUCCGCUAUCGAUACUCAGAAGGUUAUAUUGGCACCUUUCUAGCGUCUUGGGGAAAGUGCUUAGGACACACGUGAUAUUUAGAAAUAGUUUUGAGUGAGGCAUCGGUGCCAGGGGUGGCAGAUUCACCUUAAUACGCUAGCAUCACAAGACGCCACAUAAUUAAUAACAUCAUGAUACAUUUUUGAAAAUUUUUGUUUCAUCUUUAGUUUAUGUCAUUUUUUUUUUACCUAAAUGGUACCUUCCGCUUUGCUAUCAUAUGCAGUGAUUGCAGUCCAAGCGCAGUCACCGCAUGUCAACACAAGUCAACAUGACUACACAACUCAUAUAAAUAUACCUGUUAUAAAGCAUUUCUUUUUUCAAUGAUAUAAUGACCUGGUUGAUGCAUUACACUUUUCGCCGCCUUUUUGUCAUAAUAUUUGUCUAUUCUAGCACCUGAAGGACAGCGCAGUAGUAUGUGCGUUCCUGUUGCAGAUUUUAUUAAUUUUCUGCAGUGCAAUAUGAUACUGGCCAUCAUUAUCCUGUUCUACAGUUAACCCUUUCCUAUUGCAUGUACUGCAGAGAUGAAACCAGACUCUGUGUUAAAGUUCAUGAUAAGUGCCUGGUUCUUCUUUAGAGACACGUAUAUAAUUAUGGUUUAAACAUUUUGUCGACAAUGUGAGCCCAUCUGAUUUAAAACUGUAGUGACUGGUCUUUUUCGCACUGCAGUACUUUCUCUUUAUGUUCAGGUGACCGUAUAGCUGCGUUAGCUUAUUGGUAUACAACUGUAAUAUUUCGAAAUAAAUUGUACAUCGCAUCCA